UCUUCCGUUCCCUGCAGCAAAAAACAAUCCCAGUGUUGGCAUAUACACAGUGGUAGUCAAAGCAGACAAGUGUUUAUAGAAACAAAGGCAGUCAUUCAUAAUAUUACGCUUGGCGUCGCCGACGGAAAGCCAUUCAAAUCAGAAUUGCCGCCAAUCGAUCACUUCGAUAUUGCAGUUCAAUAUGGCUUUGGAGCUUCGGUCGACGAUAAUUGAUUCAAGGUCAUUAAUGAGUCAGCUGUUUCGGGUGUACGCGCUUCAGUUGACCACGUAUGAUACAUCUACGUGAAGAUCGGACUUCAUCCCGGAUGAGAGGACGCUGGGCGAAGCUGGAAAUGCAUAAAGGAUGGAUUUGUGGCCGACUGACAUUUAGUUCCAGGAAUAAAGUUGCAUUUUUGUAAAUAUUUCUACCAAAUUUACAUAACAAACCCAAUAUCCAAACGGAGCCUGGAACAAAAGUUCAUCAUGUAAUACAUAAUAAAUAGUUAAAAAUCCAAAACAAACCCUUGUGAAAAUAUCUAGAGCUGUUGCAAGCUGGAUUUUCAUUAUGGACUCUACACUUUACAAUAGAAGCGACAAAACCCUUUCCACAUCCAUAAGAAAUCUCUGCUAAAAGCAGAGUCGAUUGUACAAUAUGUAUUUGAUUCAAAGUAUUCUAGACUUGA